GGAAAACACUUCUUAAGCAAAUGUUCGCACAAAAGCGAUUUUGGCGCGUGUUAGUGAGAAAUAUCGAGAGAGUCGGUAGCUACAAGUAAAGAAAUUUAUGUUUGCUGGAUAAAUGUCAAAUGGUCCGAUGCAUCAGCAGAUGUUGGUCCAUUCCCCAAACCAACUCUUGGAUCUCCGGCAGUGUGAGAACAAAUUAGUAGACGUUUAUCCUCGUUUGAAAAAUCCCUCAACCUAUCUAACUAUAAGCGUUGCUUAAAUGCACUACAAUAAUAUUCGUAACGCUUUCUUAAUAGCUUAAAAAGAUCUUGCAUUUAGUUACUCUACUGCCCAAUGUCAAAUUCUUGCUAUAGCUUUCACCAAAGAAAAAGCAAGAUGUUCACAAAAUAAUAAUUUUUUUUCCUUUUGUAUCGAUUCUUCGAUCAGUCUUAAAAAAAUAAAGCAAGUUGUCUAUUACAAAACCGACUAUUAGUAAAAAGAUGAUGCCCAGGCUCUCAUAAAAAUUUAGUCACAGUUCCUCAUUUGAUUUUAAUAAUAAAGCAAAAACGAUAACAUAUUACCAA